ensembl:lncRNA
UGUUACACAGUAAUAGGUAAUCAAAACCAAGUACCAAUCUAUGGGAGAUGAUCUCCAAGUACUAAUAGCUUCCAAUGGACAAGGCAAGAAUACUGGAGUGGGUUGCCACUACCUCCUCCAAGGGAUCUUUCCGACCCAGGGAUCAAGCCAGUGUCUCCUGCAUUGCAGGCAGAUUCUUGACCACUGAGCCACCUGGGAUGCCCUAUAAAUCACUACAUUCAGUUCAGUUCAGUCGCUCAGUUGUGUCCAACUCUUUGCCAUCCCAUGAAUCGCAGCACGCCAGGCCUCCCUGUCCAUCACCAACUCCCGGAGUUCACCCAGACUCACAUCCAUCGAGUCAGUGAUGCCAUCCAGCCAUCUCAUCCUCUGUCGUCCCCUUCUCCUCCUGCCCCCAAUCCCUCCCAGAAUCAGAGUCUUUUCCAAUGAGUCAACUCUUCGCAUGAGGUGGCCAAAGUACUGGAGUUUCAGCUUUAGCAUCAUUCCUUCCAAAGAAAUCCCAGGGCUGAUCUCCUUCAGAAGGGACUGGUUGGAUCUCCUUGCAGUCCAAGGGACUCUCAAGAGUCUUCUCCAACACCACAGUUCAAAAGUACGGACUACACAGUCCAUGGAAUUCUCCAGGCCAGAAUACUGGAGUGGGUAGCCUUUUCCUUCUCAGGGGAUCAUCCCAACCCAGGGAUCAAACCCAGGUUUUCCGCAUUGCAGGCGGAUUCUUUACCAACUGAGCUAUCAGGGAAGCCCAUAAAAUGAAAGUCACUCAGUCGUGUCUGACUUUUUCCAACUGUAUAGUCCAUGGAAUUGUUCAGGCCAGAAUACUGGAGUGGGUAUCUGUUCUUUUCUCCAGGGGAUCUUCCCAACCCAGGGAUCAAACCCAGGUCUCCCACAUUGCAGGAGGAUUCUUUACCAGCUGAGCCACCAGGGAAGCCCAUUAAUAUUCCAAUGUAUACUUAAUUACUUUUCAACUCAUCAUUUUUACUGGAAAAAGCAGAAAACACUGGGAAGACCACCAUCAGUUUUGUCAUUAAGAAUUUUCAUCAAUGGAUAUUAACUAUUAGGGGAAAGACUUGGGAGAACACAAUAUUCAUCCACUCUCAAAGAGGUUCCAGAGAGGAGA